CCUACGGGUGGCAGCAGUGGGGAAUAUUGGGCAAUGGGCGCAAGCCUGACCCAGCAACGCCGCGUGAAGGAAGAAGGCUUUCGGGUUGUAAACUUCUUUUCUCAGGGACGAAGAAAGUGACGGUACCUGAGGAAUAAGCGACGGCUAACUACGUGCCAGCAGCCGCGGUAAUACGUGGGUGGCAAGCUUUAUCCGGAUUUACUGGGUGUAAAGGGCGUGUAGGCGGGAAAGCAAGUGAGAUGUGAAACCCAUGGGCUCAACCUGUGGCCUGCAUUUGAAACUGUGUUUCUUGAGUGCAGGGGAGGCAGUCGGAAUUCCGUGUGUAGCGGUGAAAUGCGUAGAUAUACGGAGGAACACCAGUGGCGAAGGCGGAUUGCUGGACAGUAACUGACGCUGAGGCGCGAAAGCGUGGGGAGCAAACAGGAUUAGAUACCCUUGUAGUC
rnacentral:rRNA from 1 species